ACAAGCAUAAGAAAUGGCCUCUCUCCUUGAGUUGAAGAAAAGCUUAGCUGAUUUGAAAUCAUCUCUUACUCAGGAGGUGAUUUAGUAUAGGGAUGCAAAUGGAGUCUCUUGCAUCUUCCUUUUUGUUAGCUCUAUGUUUGAUGUGAAGUUUUAGCUAGAUAUGUUGUCUUUGGGCAAUGGCAGGGAUCUUGGGUGGACAAUUUGAGUGCUUGUACAUUGCUGGACAUGGUGCUGCUAGAGAACUACUUUUUGUUUACUGCUCAGAGACACAGAAAUUACUUAAUGAACUAACCAUGAACCUUGGUUGUUGGUGAAGCAAUCUAGAAGCAGUGAAAUAUCAAAAGCUUGAUGCAUGUGUUCGUCGGCUGAAGGGUGGCAGCAGCAGCAUUGGAGCUACUCGAAUUGUCUAUUCCUGCAUGGUUUUUUCUGACUACUGCAAGGCUGUCAAUAAUGAAGGUGCCUCAAAGAUGAGUAUCAAAUUUUGAAGACCAAGCUUGAGAACAUCCAAAAGUGAUCUAUAGCUUGAAGAUGACAUCAUCAGUACUGGAGGCUCAAUUGAGUUAUGGUGCCCUCGAUGCGGCUUCAAGAAAGUAACAAACUAAAUGUUGUGUUUUACUUGGUGGAAACACAUGUGUCAGCAUGGUUUAUUGUUUAAUUUUUAUCAGCAUGAUUAUUGAACAAAGUAGUUUGUUACCAAUCAUAAAUUGCUUGUUGUGUACUUGGUUCCUAGAUUAAAUUUAUUAACCAUGAAAUUGCUCAACAGAUUGAUGCUCAUCAAGCAUGCCAUACAUUUGCACAGAGGGGGGAAAGGGUUUUUUUUCCUACUUUUUUUUUUGUUUAUGGAAGUUGGGAAAAACUAGAUUAAGUACGUACUAGAGGCGUAAGGUGAUGUCCUCUGUCCUCUCCAUUCUUGUUUGCUCAGCACAGCUUCUGAUCACUACUGCAGAUUGCUUCUUGUCUUCCCAGUGAUUAUGCAAAACUAUGGUUGUGUGCUUUGGAAUCCAAACUUUCUAAUAUUUCCAGUUCACAUGUUCUUCAUUGGCGACAAUCUACCCAUCAUGUUGAUGUUGCCUGCUAAGACACUCAGGGGCUUCACUCUGAUGAUUGAAUUUACAUGAUUUCUGUCAACCUUGAAAAAGUCACUGGCUAUAUCUCCCAAAAACAUAUCUUAUAAAAUGAAAACCCAGAACGUACAACAAUAUGCAGUGGGUUCAUUUUCUGAAAGUGAAGCAUUCUAUUUGUCAUUACUCACCAUAAAAUUGUAUGUUUUUGUUGGAAAUAUAGUACCACAUCGGUUGUG